AGGUCUCCAUACAGACUUGACCGGUUGUGGUUCCAUGAAGAUUUUAUGACAGGACUGGAGGACACCUAUUUAUUGACAGUGCCUGAGUGGUUAUAGUUGAAGAAUAGUAAAGUACAGAACUUUGACAUAAGACACUGUGACAUACUAUACAUAAAAUGAUGCAGGAGGUUGUAUUUUGGAUGAGAGGGGAAAGAACACAUUUAUUACUCUGUGCAUUGUGAAGUAACAGUAAUGCAGAAUACCUACAGACCAUGAAGUUGAGAAAUGAAAAGAUGCAGCUGUAAAUUGUUUAAUACGGUGUGUGGGGAAAACAUUGUGGAUAUGAAGCAUAGAAAUCAUGUGUCAAUGUGAAGUAACUGUAACACAGAAUGGCUGGAGACCAUUACCUUAAGAACUGAAGAGAUGCAGGGCAUUGUUCUAUAUGGUGAUUGGUGGAACCAUGGUGCAGUUUUGAAUUUAUAAGGCGUGAAGUUACAGAAAAGCAGAAUAGCUACAGACCAUGAAAUUUAGAAAAUGAAGAGUUGCAUGUCUCAGUUCAGCAUGGUGUAUAUGGGAAACAUUGUGUAUCGCAGACAUGAAAUAAUUUGUGUGAAGUAACAGUAAAGCAGAAUGGCUACAGACAAUUAGUUCAGAACUGAAGAAGAGAUGCAGGUCUUUGUUCUAUAAAUUAUGGUUUAUGAGGGAACCAUGGUGGAAAUUUGGAUUUCAUGGCAGUCAUAGAAAUAUCUAAUAAGUCUGUUGGACAGUGAUGUGUGUACCAGUCUGUCAGACUAUUAUGUGUCUGUCCAGUUGAAAAAUUCGCAGUGGAUGCUUAGUUUCUCACAUAAUUUGGCAGAAUUUUCACACAAGACAGAUUGCAAAAGACUUUAGUACCCAAAAACCUGAAAUGAGAAUGCUUUGACAAUAUAAAGUUUUUCGCAUAGACGGGGAUUGGCCGCCUCUGUAUAUAUAAGUCUACAACUUCUCAGAUUUGACCGAAGACAAUUGUUUGGUGUCGUGGAUGGGUAAAUAAUUCCAUUGUAAAUACUUUUAAUAAAAGUCAGGUACUUUUCCAUGAUACUGUAAAAUUUAAUAGACUUCGUUUAAAUUGCAACGGCAA